rnacentral:misc_RNA from 1 species
ACGAACACCAGAUCCCAGUCAAAAGAUUAUUUAAAAUAUAGACUGCUUUUGUUUACCUCAAAAUUACUUAAAAUGGGCACGCAGAGACAAUCUUAUAAAUCUUAAAAAGCAGAGUGAGAUAAAAUGGUGGGACUCAAAUGUUAUCCAGUAAGGAGACCUUAAAUAAUAAAGGUGCUAUAGAGGGUGCAUAGCAAUUAGUUGACUAGAAACUUACUUGCAGUAGCAGAAUACUAGUUUUCAUACUCAAUGUGUAAUUCCUGUACUUUCAAGAGGAGGAAAAAAAGGUCUCUAGAGAAACUAAUUCUCAUAUUUUAUUAAUUUUCAAUAAUAAUCAUAAUAAUAA